rnacentral:rRNA from 1 species
GACGAACGCUGGCGGCGUGCUUAACACAUGCAAGUCGAACGAUGAAGAAAAGAAUUGAAGCUUCGGCAGAAAUUCAUUUCGGAUUAGUGGCAGACGGGUGAGUAACGCGUGAGCAACCUACCUCUUACAAAGGGAUAGCCUCGGGAAACCGGGAUUAAUACCAUAUAACAUUGCGACGAAGCAUUUCGAUGCAAUCAAAGCUACGGCGGUAAGAGAUGGGCUCGCGUCCCAUUAACCAGAUGGUGAGGUAACGGCUCACCAUAGUAACGAUGGGUAACCGGCCUGAGAGGGUGAACGGUCACACUGGAACUGAGACACGGUCCAGACUCCUACGGGAGGCAGCAGUGUGGAAUAUUGCACAAUGGAGGGAACUCUGAUGCAGCGACGCCGCGUGAGUGAUGAAGGAAUUCGUUUCGUAAAACUCUGUUCUAUGGGAAGAAAAGGACUGUACCAUAGGAGAAAGCUCCGGCUAAAUACGUG